rnacentral:rRNA from 1 species
CCCUUAGAUGUUCUGGGCCGCACGCGCGCUACAAUGAUGCAGGCAACGAGUGCCGCUCCUUAGCCGAAAGGCUUGGGGAAUCUUGAAAACUGCAUCGUGCUAGGGAUAGAUGAUUGCAAUCGUGCAUCUUGAACGAGGAAUGCCUUGUAAGCGUGAGUCAUCAACUCGCGCUGAAUACGUCCCUGCCCUUUGUACACACCGCCCGUCGCUCCUACCGAUUGGAUGGUCCGGUGAACUGGUCGGACUGCUGUUUGAAAUUGCGGGUGCAGUUGAUUCACGGGAAGUCUAGUAAACCUUAUCAUCUAGAGGAAGGAGAAGUCGUAGCA